CACAGCAGUAUAUCACUAAGCUUGUGUGCCGGUGCUCCCGGCUGCUUCUCUAAACUGACAGGGCGCCGAUCCGAAUCGACUGAAGAGGCUCUUUUUGGAAGGAUGGUGACAGCGCCCUCAGCCACGUCCUCCUGGUCUUGAAUCGGGGAGUUUUUGGCACCCCAGCUGUCGGAGCCAACAAACAGGAAGUGCCCUGUCAGGUUGGCCUUUUUGGCAGUCUGCAACACCCGCCUGGAAGAGGAAGGUGUGGAGCAGAGUUUGACUCACUUGAUGUCGUCCUCGUUGGCAAAGAUGAUGACCCCACGAGCAUUAGAGGUUUCCAUGAG